GUGAGGAGCUGGAAAGAAUUUCGGUCAAGGAUGGACUCGCGGCCUAUCAGGUAGUUGGUGAGGUAAUGGCUCACCAAGCCUACGACGGGUAGCCGGCCUGAGAGGGUGACCGGCCACACUGGAACUGAGACACGGUCCAGACUCCUACGGGAGGCAGCAGUGGGGAAUAUUGCACAAUGGGCGCAAGCCUGAUGCAGCAACGCCGCGUGAGGGACGACGGCCUUCGGGUUGUAAACCUCUUUUAGUAGGGAAGAAGCGAAAGUGACGGUACCUGCAGAAAAAGCACCGGCUAACUACGUGCCAGCAGCCGCGGUAAUACGUAGGGUGCAAGCGUUAUCCGGAAUUAUUGGGCGUAAAGAGCUCGUAGGCGGUUUGUCGCGUCUGCUGUGAAAACUGGGGGCUCAACCCCCAGCCUGCAGUGGGUACGGGCAGACUAGAGUGCGGUAGGGGAGAUUGGAAUUCCUGGUGUAGCGGUGGAAUGCGCAGAUAUCAGGAGGAACACCGAUGGCGAAGGCAGAUCUCUGGGCCGUAACUGACGCUGAGGAGCGAAAGCAUGGGGAGCGAACAGGAUUAGAUACCCUGGUAGUCCAUGCCGUAAACGUUGGGAACUAGAUGUAGGGGCCAUUCCACGGUUCUGUGUCGCAGCUAACGCAUUAAGUUCCCCGCCUGGGGAGUACGGCCGCAAGGCUAAAACUCAAAGGAAUUGACGGGGGCCCGCACAAGCGGCGGAGCAUGCGGAUUAUUUCGAUGCAACGCGAAGAUCUUACCAAGACUUGACAUAUACGAGAACGGCUUAGAAA
rnacentral:rRNA from 1 species